AAUUUUAGUCGUUUGAUAUACGCCGUCUACGACGCGUCGCUAAUUUCAAAUUGGUCUUGUGUAUUUAAUUUUUUUUUUUUUAUUUAUAAAUUUGUGUGUCUUGAGAAUAUACGAUUCGGUAGACGUUUAUUUUGUAUGUAGACAUCAGUGCGAAUCUUGUGCAAACGCACUUAAUUUAUAACGGGAAAACAAAGGUGUUUUUAAAGAAAACAGAUAUGUUUUGGAGUCUAUGGGAUCUUACAUGAUAAUAUUCGCUUUCCAACGUAUUUUUGCUUAACCCAGAUUACAUCAAUGAUGGAAGUGUUCUGAAGAAAGUACAAUAAUGAAUAAAGUAAAAAUUAAUACAUGAAACAGUAAUCGCGUUAAUAAAUUGAUUACAUAUGCAUGCCCUUAAUCAUUACUACAAUAAAAAUAUAUUACCUUUGAAAUAAUUAAGUAAAUUGUACCUCGUAUUUUUGAAUUGAUUUUUUAACCCAAACGAACCGAAUUCUGGAGCUGAGUAUUUUUGAACUUAACCUCUAAUUAAACGUUAUCAAUGCAUCAACGAUUCUAAAAUGAAUAUAAACGCUAAAGAUUAAUCAACAUUAAAAUAAAUUUAUAAAUUAAUUUACAACAACAACAA